CACACACAGACCUUCCUCACCCACACUGCACAGCCUACAUCAAGUAAGAUAAAAAUGACAUUUUCACCACAAAAUUUUUAUAGAUGUGGAGUCCUGGGCUGUGAAUCUAGAAUCCUGCUUCUGAUCAUCCUGUUGCAUAAUGCAGGUGUGUCUCAGGAGGACUGCUGGAAUGUGACAUACACAAGAAGAGUGUAUGUUGUGGAUCAUUAG